AUUGAUGCACAACAUACUUGGUAUACCUCGAAUUUUCAACAAUAUUUAACCAGGACAAAGUCAGAUAUUCGAAAGUAACUCUAAUAUAUACCCUUAAAUACGGAAUACUAAGCCACUGAGUGAUUUACCCCGGCUAAUUGCAGGUGCCAUGAUAUUAUCUUCAUCUGGUGGAUAUCCAAGGAGUGCAGCGCAUUCGAAGACAAUCAGCACCUUACAAGAUGAGCAGAGUUGGAAAAUGCCAGCGGGGGUGUGGGGGAGUGAGUGGCGGGGACAUCUGGCAAGUAAUGCCAGCUGUUUGGUUUUCAUGAGAACUUCCUUCAACUUCCGCUUUGAUGGUAAGCAAAAGGUUCUCGCUUUCGGUUGCAGCCACAAAGUGAAAAACGCUACAAGCGCCAAAUAUUUCAUGGCAGCUGCAUGCACGACACGCCCCCACGCCCACAAGUGGGUGGCUUGGGUGGGUGUGGCGCAUGUCUAGAGGCAUGUUUGUUUAUUUGCAUCGGCUAAACAUUGCCCGGCGGAGGAGGAGAGCUGCAAGAUUUUGGAUGGCAGCCAAAAGAAAAAGCGCAACACAAAUACGCAUAUCAAAUGUUUGUCAGCUAGCAGAAAAAUUCCAGCUAAAAAAAGCAACACAUUUUGCCAAAGUGAACGUAUUUAUGUGUGUGUGUGUGUGUGUGUGUGUGUGCUCAAAGAGACUUUUGACUUUGCAUGCAACUGAGCAUAUGAGCGUGAUUUCUGCAUUUGAGCUUUUUGCCGGGGCAUAAAACGAAACUGGAACUGAACGGAACAGAACGGAGCUGCGACUACGACCCCUAGGAAGAGGAGCAUGAGGAAGAGACUGUCCAGUUUUGCCCCAGUUCUACUUGAACUCUCCUCCAUUCCGCCCCUGGUGCGCCGCACUGUUCGUCUGUCUAUCUGUAAAGCCUGCUGAAAUUUCAAGCACUUUUGACACUUUUACACCGACUACACGCACACACACAGACACAUGCAGAGCGAGAGAGAGAGAGAGAUAGGCAGAGAGAGAGGGAGAUAGCAACAUGUAAGCUAUACCACCCAGGCGGACAGUGUCCUAGUGUGCGACAGCCGAGGACACCCCUGAACCCGGGGCAAAGCGUUUGGCAUAGUCUUACACAAAGAUUUACGUACAACAUGUUGACAUAAAGUGCGCAAAAGUGGAAUUGCAUUUCGUAUGAAACUUGAGUAUGCUCUUUUGUUAACACGAUGAUGACACGCACACACACAUACACACACACACGCACAUCAACGCACACAAACAGAUAUGCACAACUUUCCGCUUCAGUCUUUGUGGUCCUUUCACUCUUUGGGCAUUUUUAACAAGGCAUAAUGUGGCACACACAGAUAACCCUCACCCAUACACGCACACACACACACUCUUCACACUUUAAGUGUUGCGGCUUAAAAUUGCUGGCAUUAUUGUGCGCAGCAGUUGGCAUAGUUGAACUUGAAUGCCGAAUUGCUCAUUCCUGAUCGAAAACUCAAUCACAUAAGCUCCAAUUAGGCAUAAAUGACGCACUAAACAAUGCAACAACAAUGAAAUGGAUUG